rnacentral:misc_RNA from 1 species
UUUCCGUAGGUGAACCUGCGGAAGGAUCAUUAAAAAAUUGGACUCCAUUGGUGAGUUCAUUAAUAAUCCUACCCUUUGUGAAUUGUUUGUUUGAAUAAUUUUUUUUCCAAAAAAAAUUAUUGAAUGUCUUUUCCUGUUUUGGUGGAGCUUGUAAAGUGAAACCAGGCAGGGGAAUGGCAAACAAUAAUUAUUUUUGAAAAAGACCUUUUUUAAAAUUAAACUUUUUGUAUUCAUUUGUCUAAAAUUAAUUUUUAUAAUAUAAAAACAACUUUUGACAAUGGAUCUCUUGGUUCUCCGCAACGAUGAAGAACGCAGCAAAAUGCGAUAAGUAGUGUGAAUUGCAGAAUACGUGAAUCAUCGAAUCUUCGAACGCAUAUUGCACUUUUUUAGUUUACUAAAAAAAGUAUGUCUGUUUGAGUAUCAGUAAAAUAUUCUCAUAAAAAAUUUAUUUUUUAUGGUUAUGAGUGUUUUACAACGAUAACAAGUUGUUUCACUUUAAAUUCUUUGUUAUCAAAAAAAUCAUUAAAAGCUAAUUUUAAAGAUUUUUUAAAAUUGGAUAAAAUUUUCCCGUAAAAAGGAAUAACCUAGACAAUUUUAAAAAUUAAAAUUGGUUUGAUUUUUUUUGAUAACAAAGGAAAAAAAACGAAAAUUAACUUGAUCUCAAAUCAGAUAAGAGUACCCCGCUGAACUUAAGCAUAUCAAUAAGCGGAGGAAAAGAAACUAACUAGGAUUCCCUCAGUAACGGCGAGUGAAGCGGGAAGAGCUCAAAUUUGAAAUCUUCAAGGUUUUACCUUGACGAAUUGUAGUUUAAAGAAGUGUUUUCUGUUGGAGUUUUGGUAAAAGUUCUUUGGAAAAGGACAUCAUAGAGGGUGAGAAUCCCGUAUUUGACCAUUAUCUCCAGCUUUGUGAUACACUUUCAAAGAGUCGGAUUGUUUGGGAAUGCAGUCCAAAAUGGGUGGUAAAUUUCAUCUAAAGCUAAAUACUGGCGAGAGACCGAUAGCGAACAAGUACCGUGAGGGAAAGAUGAAAAGAACUUUGAAAAGAGAGUUAAACAGUACGUGGAAAUUGUCAAAAGGGAAGCGUUUGACACCAGUGUUGUUUUCUCGAAAAUCAAUUAAAAAAGGCCGGAUUUUGUGUUGUAUUGACUUUAUCAGCUUUCUGCACUUUUUUCUUGUCUUUUUUAAUGCACUUUUCGUUUAACAAGUCAACAUCAAUUCUUUUGUUGUAAAAGGGUCAUUGGAAGGUGGCUUUCUCUUCGGAGAAAGUGUUUAUAGCCUUUGGCCUCUGCAAUCGGAGAGAUUGAGGUCUGCAGCGUAGAUCCUUCGGGGUUAGAUACAUUUGUGCUAAGUUAUAGCCUUUCAUAGACAACUUGUUGACUAUGAUCAGUCAUGUGGCUUACUCGCUUAUGCUAUUUUACCUACGCUUAGGAUGUUG